rnacentral:rRNA from 1 species
CGGACGGUAGCACAGAGAGCUUGYUCUYGGGUGACGAGUGGCGGACGGGUGAGUAAUGUCUGGGGAUCUGCCCGAUAGAGGGGGAUAACCACUGGAAACGGUGGCUAAUACCGCAUAACGUCGCAAGACCAAAGAGGGGGACCUUCGGGCCUCUCACUAUCGGAUGAACCCAGAUGGGAUUAGCUAGUAGGCGGGGUAAUGGCCCACCUAGGCGACGAUCCCUAGCUGGUCUGAGAGGAUGACCAGCCACACUGGAACUGAGACACGGUCCAGACUCCUACGGGAGGCAGCAGUGGGGAAUAUUGCACAAUGGGCGCAAGCCUGAUGCAGCCAUGCCGCGUGUAUGAAGAAGGCCUUCGGGUUGUAAAGUACUUUCAGCGGGGAGGAAGGCGAYGSGGUUAAUAACCGCGUCGAUUGACGUACCCGCAG